UUUUCAAACAAACACUAAAACCCAGUGUUUUUUCUCUCUAUCUGGGAAAUAACCUAACUCACGCGUUCCACCUCCUGCAUCUGCCACCUCUAGCUCUAGCAACCUCCUGCAUCAUCUCACGAAAAAACCCUCACUGUCGCUCGUGCUCGCCGUUCACCUCACCGUCGCUCGUGCUCGCCGUUCACCUCCUGCACCGUUCACUCUCUUUCUCUCUCAAUCUCCAAAAGGAUCUUCGGUUUUCUCUGAAAUUCCACGCUCAUGGCCGCCGCCAUCGCUCGUGCUUGUGCCCGUGCUCCACUAUAACAGUUGUGCUGUUAUUCCUGCGGGUUUUCACCUCAAUCUUCAGGUCCCGUUUUUGUUGAACAUUCACUCUCUCUCCUAGUCCUGCUUGUGGAAGCUGUUAUGGUUGCGUACUGUGUUUGAUCGAUAAGGAACGUGCUAGUGUUCUUGUUGGGUCAGGGAUGAGUGGUUUGACUGUUUUCUGUUGGUGUUAACCCUAAUUUGAUUUGUGGAGUUUUGAUUUUGCUCUCACUACAGGAAGAUGUCUUUAUGAUUUAUUGAUUUAAGAAAGCACAAAACAAUGAUACAUGUUACCAAUUUUAAUUGGCUUUAUGAAUGGAAAUCAAGUCCUCUGGUAUGUAUUUCCUCGUUGUAGCCUAAGUGUUUCAUGGGUAUUCAUGUUGGGGCCAUC